rnacentral:rRNA from 1 species
AUCCGCACAAGCAGCGGAGCGUGUGGUUUAAUUCGUUGCUACACGAAGAACCUUACCUGGGUUUGACAUAUAGGUUGUAGGGAACUGAAAAGGGACCGACCCUUCGGGGAGCCUAUACAGGUGUUGCAUGGCUGUCGUCAGCUCGUGUCGUGAGAUGUUCGGUUAAGUCCGCUAACGAGCGCAACCCUCGUCGUAUGUUAUAUGUGUCAUACGAGACUGCCGGUAAAAGCCGGAGGAAGGUGAGGAUGAUGUCAAGUCAGCAUGACCUUUAUAUCCAGGGCUACACACACGCUACAAUGGUCUGUACAAUGGGUAGCCAAGCCGCGAGGCGGAGCCAAUCCUGAAAGCAGGCCUCAGUUCAGAUUGCAGUCUGCAACUCGACUGCAUGAAGCCGGAGUUGCUAGUAACCGCAGGUCAGCAAUACUGCGGUGAAUACGUUCCCGGGUCUU